rnacentral:rRNA from 1 species
AGCGAACGCUGGCGGCAGGCCUAACACAUGCAAGUCGAACGAUCCUUCGGGAUAGUGGCGGACGGGUGAGUAACACGUGGGAACGUGCCCUUUGGUUCGGAACAACUCAGGGAAACUUGAGCUAAUACCGAAUGUGCCCUUCGGGGGAAAGAUUUAUCGCCAUUGGAGCGGCCCGCGUCUGAUUAGCUAGUUGGUGAGGUAACGGCUCACCAAGGCGACGAUCAGUAGCUGGUCUGAGAGGAUGAUCAGCCACAUUGGGACUGAGACACGGCCCAAACUCCUACGGGAGGCAGCAGUGGGGAAUCUUGCGCAAUGGGCGAAAGCCUGACGCAGCCAUGCCGCGUGAAUGAUGAAGGUCUUAGGAUUGUAAAAUUCUUUCACCGGGGACGAUAAUGACGGUACCCGGAGAAGAAGCUCCGGCUAACUUCGUGCCAGCAGCCGCCGCAGUAA